UUCAAUUUGUUUAUUUGCUUGUAUCUAUGGCAUUUACAACAAAAAUAUAAGAGUAUUGAAAUAUAAAUGAGGAGAUUCAUUAGUUUAGAAUUGUGUUCUUCCUGUUUUUGCAUCUUAACUAUAGCAACGAAUAUAAAAAGAGUUCGAAAUUCAAAUGAAGUAGACCGCCGAUAAAGUUUACCCGUAAAUCGACCCUCGCCCAACGCUAACCACCCACUCACAGGCUGAAGAAGCCACUGAGGAUAAUGGACGAGGAUGGGCAGGGGCUUACACGCAACAGCGCCGCCGGCGACAUGGCACACAAUUUGUGCGCUGCAAUAAAAUAAAAUUAAAAUUUGAAACAACUAAGGCAGCAGCAACAUUGAAACAUUCAUUCAAAGUGGCGAGCAGAGGGCAGGGAGCAGAGAGUGGUGCGCAAGAAUUCAGUGGGAAACUGUUUUGUAUAAAUAUGUAUAUAUAUAUAUAUAUAUAUGAGUGUGCAGCACACUGGGCGUAUGAGUGAUGAGCGAUAUUCUUUUGUUGCCUUUCUACUCUCCUAUCCUUUGGAGUAUGGGAUAGCAUUAUAAUCUCUCUUUGCUGCGUUCAUUUCACUCGUGAUUACGAUAAGACAGUAAUUACAUUUAUCUGCUGCUGGCAGCAUUCGACACCAGCAGCUGAGGGCAAAGCCAACACUUGGCGGCUUUAAUCGCGACCACAUUGCGUAUGCGUAAUAUAUGCAAACGCGUUGCGUAUACGUCAUGUUGUGCCAGCGUUUGUCCAAGGUGAGUGCAUAGAAUUAGUUAAAUUAUCAGCGGAUGGCCUUCGGGUGCUAACUGCUGCGACUAACGCAGCAUGAAAUUGCCGCAGAGAGUGGAGAGAAGCGGCAUUUGCGAAUAUUCAUAUGUACAUAUAUAGUAUUUCGCAUAGGUCAAGGACAUCGUGGCAAUUGUUUAUGAGUGAUUAGAAACGGCCUGACAAGUGCCCCGAUCGUACGUAAAUGACGUCAGCAGCUUGUAAAACCUUUCCAUGCGUGAUAACCCAAUUAAAUUGAGCACAUGGAGAAUGAAGAAUAUAUUAAAGACGACAAGAACUGCGUAGGAAACCUGAAUAAUCGAGGCAGGGGUAAAGUGUUUUGUCACCCAAGAGAUUGAUGAUUCAAUUAAGGCAAAAAGUGAAAAGAAAGGCAACAGCAAAAAGGAUCAAGUGCAGACCUUUUGCCCAACCCACCGUUUUGUUCAGUGUGUUUCUUAUGUUUGAGGCAAAAGAAAAAAAAGCGAGGGCGUACAAUAAUUAAUCAAUAAUUACGCUUUGCGUGAGCGAAGGGAGAACCAGAGACCUGGGUGGCAAAUAAAACAAUAUUCAUUUAUUUGCGGCUGCCUAUGGCACCUGGCCCCACCUCCUUCUCCACCGCUCCACGCCCCCUCGAGAGCCGCCCUCUUUCAAUGUCAGACCAGCAAAAGCAACAAUAACAACAAUUAUUAUUGAUUACAUGUCAGUUGUAUUGAGUUUGCGGGAAAGAGGCAGUAGUCACUGUCCCUGCCCACCUACCACGUGUCCCCGUCUAUCUAAUUGUAUUCCUCUGCCUGUUUUUUAUCAAAUUCAAUUAGACGCACGACUAUAACUGUAAUUGUGUGUUAGCCGUCAGAUAGAAAAUGUAUAUACACUUACGUAUAAAAAGGGGGUACAGAUGUGGAGUCAAUAAAGCGUUUGUUAUUUUGUUGUCUUUGUUAUCAGGACACAUGAAAACUGGAAAUGCACCAAUGGUCGAUGGUGCUGAUGAUGAUAUAACUGACUGAAACUAGCACAAAACUCGUUUCCAUACUCAAAUGGGGUGCAUAUUCUUAACCCAUUUUCGCAGAAACCCAAACAAAACAAAUUAAAAAACAGUAAAAACCACACACAAAAGAAAAGGGCUGAGAAACUUCUAGGGAAAAGUUGAAAAAAAAAACUAUGAAUCGGGGAGCCGAGCCGCAUAAAUAUGAAUCUAAUAACUCUCUUUGUUUGCUCUAUCUCGUCUUGGCUCUUAUCGCUUCGCAUUCGCCAGCUGUUGUUUGGCUUUAGCCUGCGACCAAGUUUUGUUUUAGUUUUCUGGCCCAUUGUCAGCAGCAACAACCUCACAACUGGCGUCAAUAAGUUUUCCUUAUUUUUUUCUUAAUGAUUCCAUGCCGAUAAGCCCUCAAGGGGGCAGCACUCGUUGUUGUCGGUUUGUUGUGCUUCCCCUUUAAAAAUUUGUUAUCAUCGAGAAAUGUAUGUACUCACGUACGUAUCCCUAGAUUAAAUUGAAUCAAUGAAUUUUAAUUCGCAAAAAUUCGAUAGCAAGUUCGAUGUAUGUACAUGGUCAUAUAAACUAGUUGCCCUGCAUUCUUUUUAUCGUUUGUCGCGUUUGAAAUUUUGCAUGAAGUCAUUCCGCACCGUCGAAUGCAUGUGUGUACAUAGCACCUGCCCAUAAAUAACCGGCGGUAAACAACGAGCAACGAGGAACGGCAUAAAAACGAAAACCAAAACCAAAACGGAAAAUUUCAAUUUUCAUUGUGCAGCGUUUUUCCAUGUUCAAUUCUAUUUUAUUUGCCCAUAAAUACGGAAUGAAAAUUGCUGGUUACUGUGCGGGACAGUCGGACAGAUAGCUAGAAUGGGGGUUGCUGGAAAAGUCAGCGUUUAUCUCACAGAUACACACCGCAUAAGAACGUGAAAUAGCAUAUACCUCGACCAUUAGAUGCGCUUUGAUCAAGUGGAAAGAUGUGAUAAGGGAAACCCGUUUCGCAUAGUAUAAAAAGUGCACUUGAGCACUGGCUUAAUCAACCUUUUGUGUAUCUUUAGAAAAAUAUACAUAUCCCCAACGCUGGAGCUUAUACACAUCCGAAGCGUAACGAGAAGUUUGUCUUAUAGGGAAAUGUUCCCAUCAGAGAGAAAUGCACAUCGACAAUAAAACGCAAAAAAAGCAAACAAACAAACGAUCGGCACACGAUACCAAUAAAAGGAAAGAAAAACAACUGCUUGGCUGGGAAAGAGAGAUAAUGGCGGGCAGCAAGUAAGAUCGCCUGAUCCUGAUCGAGAACAUACAAUAUACUUUAUGAGGUCGCGCGAGAACAAAAUGCCCUCGCAUUCCACUAGAACGCGUUCUGGGGAAAGAGUAGCGAAAAUAAACAGCGGCUACACUUUUUUGAAAGCAACAACGACAACGAAAAUAAUUGCACAAAUGAAACUGAGCGAAAAAAGACGCGAAAAAGCAAAAAUUAAAACGAGCACAACGAAGCAGCCGCCGACGUGUGCGUUAUUUAAAUGAUUUUGCCAGUUUGCCAGUUUGCCUCGGUGUGGCUGUCUCAAUUUAAAUGUUUUUUAUAGCCGCCUGCAUUCGGCGACUGCCACUCCUAACAUUUUCAGAGGGGCACUCAGAUUCAAAGGGGCUUCCAAGGGGCCUAAAAAAGCCGACUGAGACCCGUUUGCCAAACUGAGACGGAAAAUCCAAUCCAAUCCAAUACGAACCAAACCAAAACCAAACCGCACCAAAACGAAACGAAAUGAAACGAAGCGAAAAAGUUAAUAAAAUCAACAAACACAAUUAAGGCAAAGGCAGAAA